GAUGAACGCUGGCGGCGUGCCUAAUACAUGCCAGUCGAGCGAACAGACGAGGAGCUUGCUCCUCUGACGUUAGCGGCGGACGGGUGAGUAACACGUGGAUAACCCACCUAUAAGACUGGGAUAACUUCGGGAAACCGGAGCUAAUACCGGAUAAUAUAUUGAACCGCAUGGUUCAAUAGUGAAAGACGGUUUUGCUGUCACUUAUAGAUGGAUCCGCGCCGCAUUAGCUAGUUGGUAAGGUGACGGCUUACCAAGGCAACGAUGCGUAGCCGACCUGAGAGGGUGAUCGGCCACACUGGAACUGAGACACGGUCCAGACUCCUACGGGAGGCAGCAGUAGGGAAUCUUCCGCAAUGGGCGAAAGCCUGACGGAGCAACGCCGCGUGAGUGAUGAAGGUCUUCGGAUCGUAAAACUCUGUUAUUAGGGAAGAACAAAUGUGUAAGUAACUAUGCACGUCUUGACGGUACCUAAUCAGAAAGCCACGGCUAACUACGUG
rnacentral:rRNA from 1 species